rnacentral:rRNA from 1 species
UUUUACUCCUACGGGAGGCAGCAGUGGGGAAUAUUGCACAAUGGGCGCAAGCCUGAUGCAGCAACGCCGCGUGAGGGACGACGGCCUUCGGGUUGUAAACCUCUUUUAGCAGGGAAGAAGCGAAAGUGACGGUACCUGCAGAAAAAGCGCCGGCUAACUACGUGCCAGCAGCCGCGGUAAUACGUAGGGCGCAAGCGUUAUCCGGAAUUAUUGGGCGUAAAGAGCUCGUAGGCGGUUUGUCGCGUCUGCUGUGAAAUCCGGAGGCUCAACCUCCGGCCUGCAGUGGGUACGGGCAGACUAGAGUGCGGUAGGGGAGAUUGGAAUUCCUGGUGUAGCGGUGGAAUGCGCAGAUAUCAGGAGGAACACCGAUGGCGAAGGCAGAUCUCUGGGCCGUAACUGACGCUGAGGAGCGAAAGGGUGGGGAGCAAACAGGCUUAGAUACCCUGGUAGUCCACCCCGUAAACGUUGGGAACUAGUUGUGGGGUCCAUUCCACGGAUUCCGUGACGCAGCUAACGCAUUAAGUUCCCCGCCUGGGGAGUACGGCCGCAAGGCUAAAACUCAAAGGAAUUGACGGGGACCCGCACAAGCGGCGGAGCAUGCGGAUUAAUUCGAUGCAACGCGAAGAACCUUACCAAGGCUUGACAUAUACGAGAACGGGCCAGAAAUGGUCAACUUCGAGCC